rnacentral:tRNA from 4 species
GCGGAAGUGGUGAAAUGGCAGACACGCUGGUUUUAGGUACCAGUGCCGAAAGGUGUGUGGGUUCGAGUCCCACCUUCCGCACCA